AUGUAAAUCAUAAUAGAACAAAGUUACACAACCCCAGUCCCCUCGUUCAACAUCAAUCCGCACACUAUUUCCUUACUUCUACUCAUUCCCAAACACUCAACACAACAUUACAUGCACUCACCCAACUUCAAAUUACGAAGAUUCUCAGGUUCAUAUGAAUUUUCCCAACAAGUACACAACAAUACUAGCAAACUAUGAACCUCAGAUCAUAGAUGCUUUCUCGCUUUUCCUUGCCCCUAACCAUUCAAUUCCACAUUACUCGCGCCUCGUAAACCUCAGAUUACAAGGGCUUU
rnacentral:lncRNA from 1 species